GGCAGGCUGUAUAUUGCUUUAUGGCUGUUGACUUGAUUUAAAAUGCACUCUUAAAAAUGAAAGAAUAACUCCUUAAAUUUGCAGUAAAUGUAUAGUUCCACAGAUCUGAUUUACUGGUUAUGAGCCACCAAAGAAUUGCAAUUGCAUUUUAUUGUAUUGUUGACUCUAGUAGCGAAAGCCUCAGCAUCACUGUAGCUCUGGAAACCAUGAAAAACCUGAUCGUUUUAGAUUAAUCAUUUAUUUCAGGGGAUAACGACGAUCGCUUUGAUGGUGACUGUUUAAACCAACGUGUGAGAUCAAAGGCAUGCAGUUGGCUUGUGCUUUGCUCAGUUCAGAGCUUUUUAGCCUUGGUUGACUCAUAAUUGCAAAAAUUCCCAGCUGGCUGGAAGUGGAAGGAACUUGCUGCAGAGCACCAGGCACGGCACGAGGUGCAGAGACCUGCCUGGGCUGCAGGACACCGAGCAGCAGCCGAGAGCAUGCAGCAGAGCAGCAAGAAAUCCAUCUGCUUGCACAGAGCUCCUCACUUUGAGCCCACUGUCCUAAUUUCCCUCGCACCCUUGUCAGCAGUGAACGUGCCACUCAGUUGCGCAGCACAAGUGUGAGGCACAGCCUGAGCACCGGCACCAGCUCCCACCACCACCGCGAGAACCGACAGAGGCAAAACAUGCUGCAGGUUGCGGGUGGUGCAGCUGAACCGCUCUGGCUCUGUUCUCCUGAAGGCACAAACAAAGGCAAAUCACAUGCAGCAUUGUCUCACACGCAGCCGCUGAUACACAGGCACACGAAUUCAUUUCUCUGCCCCCUGCUCCCGCAGCACCACUUGCUG